GUGCUUGCUUCAGCAGCACAUACACUGAAAACUGGGACAAUACAGAGACUAGCGUGGCCCCUGCACAAGAUGACACACACAUUCACGGUGUGUUCCUUAGCUAA